rnacentral:rRNA from 12 species
GAAUCGCUAGUAAUCGUGGAUCAGAAUGGCACGGUGAAUACGUUCCCGGGCCUUGUACACACCGCCCGUCACACCAUGGGAGUGGACUGCACCAGAAGUGGUUAGCCUAACUUCGGAGGGCGAUCACCACGGUGUGGUUCAUGACUGGGGUGAAGUCGUAACAAGGUAGCCGUAGGGGAACCUGCGGCUGGAUCACCUCCUU